rnacentral:rRNA from 1 species
UAAGGAAUAUUGCUCAAUGGGAGAAAUCCUGAAGCAGCAACGCCGCGUGGAGGAUGAAGGGUCUAUGACUUGUAAACUCCUGUAAAGAAGGAAAAAAUUCCCAUUUGAUGGGAGAUGAUGGUACUUCUGGAGUAAGCCACGGCUAACUACGUGCCAGCAGCCGCGGUAAUACGUAGGGGGCAAGCGUUGUCCGGAUUUACUGGGUGUAAAGGGUGCUCAGGCGGAUUUGUAAGUCAGGGGUGAAAUCUUACAGCUUAACUGUGAAACUGGCGUUGAUACUGCGAGCCUAGAGUAUGGAAGAGAGUGAUGGAAUAUACGGUGUAGCAGUGAAAUGCGUAGAUAUCAGAUAGAACACCAAUGGCGAAGGCAGUCACUUGGUCCAUUACUGACGCUAAAGCACGAAAGCGUGGGUAGCAAACA